CUGGGAUGAGAAGACUGCUUGAGCCUAAGAGUUCAGGGUUGCAGUGAGCUAUGAUCACACCACUCCACUGCACUCCAGCCUGGGAGACAGAGUGAGACUCCCUCUACAAAAAAAAAAAAAAUUGGCCCUUUUCCCCCUCUCUCUGAUCCUUACAAGACAAUGACAUUUCUACCUGCACUGCCUCCAUCUCCAUCCCGGAGCAUGCAGGGCAGUAUUAGCUUGAACUUGACCCAUUUGUCGAAGGUACAAUGAACUGUUCUCAUACGUACCCUGAAUCCUUUCUUGUUAUGCUUUUUGGCUACAGGCAGGAAAACAAGAGAAAUUCUUGCUCUUGCCAAGACAGACAUGGGGAAUUUCGAAGGCCCGCCUUCUGAACGUCACCUCGUCCCCUCUUCCUUGGUCCAGUGAGAAGUCCAGAUGCUUCCCUUGGGGAUGCCCAGAACACAGCCUGGGAUGAUGAGGAGAGGCGGGAGAGCUUCCUAGGAGAUGGUAAAAUUCCCUUGGAAUUUUCGGUUUCCAAAGGGAGUGAAGGGGGCUGCUUGCUUGGGUGAAAAAGGAGGGAAAUUGAAUGGAGAAGAUAUAGCCGGGGGCAGUGGCUCCUGCCUGUGGUCCCAGCACUUUGGGAGACAUGGGCUGGAGGAUUGCCUGAGCUCAGGA
rnacentral:lncRNA from 1 species